UACGAAGGGGGCUAGCGUUGCUCGGAAUUACUGGGCGUAAAGCGUUUGUAGGCGGUUUUCUAAGCCAGUGGUGAAAUCCUGGGGCCCAACCCCAGAAUUGCCAUUGGGACUGGAAAGCUAGAGAGUGUUAGAGGUAAGUGGAAUUCCUAGUGUAGGAGUGAAAUCCGUAGAGAUUAGGAGGAAUAUCGAUGGCGAAGGCAGCUUACUGGGACAUUUCUGACGCUGAGAAACGAAAGCGUGGGUAGCAAACAGG
rnacentral:rRNA from 1 species